rnacentral:rRNA from 1 species
GACGAACGCUGGCGGCGUGCCUAAUACAUGCAAGUAGAACGCACAGUUUAUACCGUAGCUUGCUACACCAUAGCCUGUGAGUUGCGAACGGGUGAGUAACGCGUAGGUAACCUGCCUGGUAGCGGGGGAUAACUAUUGGAAACGAUAGCUAAUACCGCAUAAUAUUAAUUAUUGCAUGAUAAUUAAUUGAAAGGUGCAAUUGCACCACUACCAGAUGGACCUGCGUUGUAUUAGCUAGUAGGUGAGGUAACGGCUCACCUAGGCGAAGAUACAUAGCCGACCUGAGAGGGUGAUCGGCCACACUGGGACUGAGACACGGCCCAGACUCCUACGGGAGGCAGCAGUAGGGAAUCUUCGGCAAUGGACGAAAGGCUGACCGAGCAACGCCGCGGGAGUGAAGAAGGGUUUCGGAUCGUAAAGCUCUGUUGUAAGGGAAGAACGGGUGUGAGAGUGGAAAGUUCACACUGUGACGGUAUCUUACCAGAAAGGGACGGCUAACUACGUG